rnacentral:rRNA from 1 species
AGAGUUUGAUUCUGGCUCAGGAUGAACGCUAGCGGCAGGCCUAAUACAUGCAAGUCGAGGGGCAGCAGGGGUAGCAAUACUCACUGGCGACCGGCGCACGGGUGCGUAACACGUAUGCAACUUUCCUUCAACUGGAAGAUAGCCCGAAGAAAUUCGGAUUAAUAUUCCAUAGUUAUAUGAAAUGGCAUCAUUUUAUAUUUAAAGCUCAGGCGGUUGAAGAUGGGCAUGCGUUCGAUUAGCUAGUUGGUGAGGUAAUGGCUCACCAAGGCUACGAUCGAUAGGGGAUCUGAGAGGAUUAACCCCCACACUGGUACUGAGACACGGACCAGACUCCUACGGGAGGCAGCAGUAAGGAAUAUUGGACAAUGGAGGCAACUCUGAUCCAGCCAUGCCGCGUGAAGGAUGAAGGUCCUAUGGAUUGUAAACUUCUUUUGAACGGGAGAAAACCUUCGGUCGCGUACCGAAGCUGAUAGUACCGUUAGAAUAAGGGUCGGCUAACUUCGUGCCAGCAGCCGCGGUAAUACGAAGGACCCGAGCGUUAUCCGGAUUUAUUGGGUUUAAAGGGUGCGUAGGCGGAAUGGUAAGUCAGUGGUGAAAUCUUGUGGCUUAACUGCAAAACUGCCAUUGAUACUGCCAAUCUUGAGUACAUUUGAUGGGCGGAAUGUGCCAUGUAGUGGUGAAAUACUUAGAUAUGGCACAGAACACCGAUCGCGAAGGCAGCUUACAAAACUGUUACUGACGCUGAGGCACGAAAGCGUGGGGAUCAAACAGGAUUAGAUACCCUGGUAGUCCACGCCUUAAACUAUGAUUACUCGAUGUGUGCGAUACACAGUACGCGUCUAAGCGAAAGCGUUAAGUAAUCCACCUGGGGAGUACGGUCGCAAGAUUGAAACUCAAAGAAAUUGACGGGGGCCCGCACAAGCGGAGGAGCAUGUGGUUUAAUUCGAUGAUACGCGAGGAACCUUACCUGGGCUUGAAAGUUAGUGAAUGCUGUGGGAACAUGGCAGGCCGCAAGGACACGAAACUAGGUGCUGCAUGGCUGUCGUCAGCUCGUGCCGUGAGGUGUUGGGUUAAGUCCCGCAACGAGCGCAACCCCUAUCUUUAGUUGCCAGCGAGUAAUGUCGGGGACUCUAAAGAAACUGCCCGUGCAAACGGUGAGGAAGGUGGGGAUGACGUCAAGUCAGCACGGCCCUUACGUCCAGGGCUACACACGUGCUACAAUGGCGAGUACAAAGGGCAGCUACAUGGUGACAUGAUGCUAAUCUCUAAAACUCGUCUCAGUUCGGAUUGAAGUCUGCAAUUCGACUUCAUGAAGCUGGAUUCGCUAGUAAUCGAAUAUCAGCAAUGAUUCGGUGAAUACGUUCCCGGGCCUUGUACACACCGCCCGUCAAACAAUGGAAGCUGAGGGUACUUAAAGUCGAUAACCGCAAGGAGUCGCCUAGGGUAAAAUCGGUAACUGGUGUUAAGUCGUAACAAGGUA